UCGUGAACUGCAAUUUUCGAUCUUGAUGAAAGUUGUUGGAGUGUGUCGGGUUCGGAAAAUUUUACGAAAAAAAAACGAAACUAUUGGCACUACGCCCUCCGGGGCAUGGCCUUCCUCUAACGUGGGAUUUCUGCUCCAGCGCCUCUGACGAGACAGGAGAAACCGGGACCGACGUUUUACUUCACCAUCCGAUCGAGAAAUUAAAACCAACACCUGAAUUUAUCGACUUGAUUCAUCAACAGUGAAGACAGGACUAUGGAGUGAAAAUUCCGUGAAGAGGUGAAAUUCACCGAUUGCUCUCGUUCAACCAUCGCAUGGUUUCGCACUUGCACUUCGUGCUUCACUCACUAACACAGUUACACCGCAGAGAAUAUCGAAUGUUCAUCGCUUUUCCUGAUUUCGCUCAACUUGCGGAGCAACACUUAGUUAUUUGUUCAAUUUUAGGAUAAUCGAAGGUGUUGGGUUUGACUCGAAAGAUGGCAACGUGUUUGUCCUUAUCAGUACGCUUAAGAUUUAACAGGUGCUA
rnacentral:lncRNA from 1 species